UGGGGCCUAGAUAUAACGGUUUAAGUUUUAAUUAUGCAACUUUUUUAUUACUCUGUUUUGGAAUAAAUUAUUCAAUGCCUCAUUCAUAACGCACAAAAGGCAGUUUUUUCACCUCUUGAAUCUUUGUAGUGAACCGAUUCAAAAGAUUCGAAUCGCUUCUAACAGGGGUGGGGAACGUUGAUCCUGGAGGGCCUGUGUCCCUGCAGAGUUUAGCUCCAACGCUAAUCAAACACCCCUGAACAAGCUUAUCAAGGUCUUCAGGAUACAGGUAGCCUAGCCUUGGUAUUUUUUUUUUUUUUCAGAGUUGGAGCUAAAGGGUUGACCCUCCAGGAUCAUUCCACACCCCUGCUCUAAACGAAGGUAUAUGGCCAGUCUACUAUUAAAGCUGUGAAUUUUCCAUAUAGGCUAGGUCUAUUUUCUCUAACAACAACACGUCUUUAAAAUACUUUUAAUACACAGUUUUUAAUGAGAACAGAAUCUGCCACAGCAGUUUAUGUCCAUAUUCAAAAUAUUAUUAUAAUUUAAACAAAAUAUUGGGUAUGCAGUUGUGGCGCUAUAUGAUAUGAAGUUCAUAUAAAAUCAUACAAUUUCUUUCUGUAUCAGUAUUGAGCUGUCACCAAUGUCCCGCCCACAGUUGAAAUACAAUUGGUCAGAAGUUGAAAGUGGGAAACUGCUUUGGAAUAUGAUUGGUUGACUGAAGUUACUAGUAUAAUUCUGACGGGUUCCUAGCAGUUAAACUGUGUACGCUCGUGUGCACGGUGUGUCUGUCGAGUCAAGAGGGGGAUACUAGUUUGCAAAAUCGAGAUUAUAAAAGGAAAGUGGACAGCUGCCUAGAAAAGAGAAAGAGAGAGAGACUAAUAGUAGCUACAUAUGGUGACCUCCUGGGCUCCGUACCUACGGCAACAAAGUCACAGCUGUACAUGCUGACCAAAAACAAGGCUGUAAACAUAGUCUGGCUUGUGACUCCUUCAGUCUUGUGUGCUUCAAAUAAAAAUAUUAAGUUUAAUGUUCAUGUAGCCUAAUGUUUAUAUACAUAUUGCCAAGAAUGCUUAUAAGCCUUAGCUAAUGUUUGUAUCAAGGACAGACACGCGUUUAGUUAUACUUUUUUUGUAAAAUUAAUUUUUAUUUUAUUAUUUAU
rnacentral:lncRNA from 1 species